GACGAACGCUGGCGGCGUGCUUAACACAUGCAAGUCGAACGGAAAGGCCCUGCUUGCCGGGUACUCGAGUGGCGAACGGGUGAGUAACACGUGGGUGAUCUGCCCUGCACUUCGGGAUAAGCCUGGGAAACUGGGUCUAAUACCGGAUAGGAGCCAUUUUUAGUGUGAUGGUUGGAAAGUUUUUUCGGUGUAGGAUGAGCUCGCGGCCUAUCAGCUUGUUGGUGGGGUAAUGGCCUACCAAGGCGGCGACGGGUAGCCGGCCUGAGAGGGUGGACGGCCACAUUGGGACUGAGAUACGGCCCAGACUCCUACGGGAGGCAGCAGUGGGGAAUAUUGCACAAUGGGCGCAAGCCUGAUGCAGCGACGCCGCGUGGGGGAUGACGGCCUUCGGGUUGUAAACGCCUUUCGCUAGGGACGAAGCUUUUUGUGACGGUACCUAGAUAAGAAGCACCGGCUAACUACGUG
rnacentral:rRNA from 1 species